GGUUAAGCGACUAAGCGUACACGGUGGAUGCCCUGGCAGUCAGAGGCGAUGAAGGACGUGCUAAUCUGCGAUAAGCGUCGGUGAGGUGAUAUGAACCGUUAUAACCGGCGAUUUCCGAAUGGGGAAACCCAGUGUGUUUCGACACACUAUCAUUAACUGAAUCCAUAGGUUAAUGAGGCGAACCGGGGGAACUGAAACAUCUAAGUACCCCGAGGAAAAGAAAUCAACCGAGAUUCCCCCAGUAGCGGCGAGCGAACGGGGAGCAGCCCAGAGCCUGAAUCAGUGUGUGUGUUAGUGGAAGCGUCUGGAAAGGCGCGCGAUACAGGGUGACAGCCCCGUACACAAAAAUGCACAUGCUGUGAGCUCGAUGAGUAGGGCGGGACACGUGGUAUCCUGUCUGAAUAUGGGGGGACCAUCCUCCAAGGCUAAAUACUCCUGACUGACCGAUAGUGAACCAGUACCGUGAGGGAAAGGCGAAAAGAA
rnacentral:rRNA from 1 species